UGUCGUCAGCUCGUGUCGUGAGAUGUUGGGUUAAGUCCCGCAACGAGCGCAACCCACGUUUUUAGUUGCCAGCAUUCAGUUGGGCACUCUAGAAAGACUGCCGGUGACAAACCGGAGGAAGGUGUGGACGACGUCAAGUCAUCAUGCCCCUUACGCCUUGGGCUACACACGUACUACAAUGCUGCGGACAAAGAGUAGCGAUCUUGCGAAAGUUAGCUAAUCUCGUAAACCGUGGCUCAGUUCAGAUCGUAGGCUGCAACUCGCCUACGUGAAGGAGGAAUCGCUAGUAAUCGCAGGUCAGCAUACUGCGGUGAAUACGUUCCCGGGCCUUGUACACACCGCCCGUCACACCAUGGAAGUUGGCCAUGCCCGAAGUCGUUACUCUAACCUUUUGGAAGAGGGCGCCGAAGGCAGGGCUAAUGACUGGGGUGAAGUCGUAACAAGGUAGCCGUAGCGGAAGCUGCGGCUGGAUCACCUCCUAAC
rnacentral:rRNA from 1 species